AACGAACGCUGGCGGCAUGCCUAACACAUGCAAGUCGAACGAGACCUUCGGGUCUAGUGGCGCACGGGUGCGUAACGCGUGGGAACCUGCCUUUAGGUUCGGAAUAACUCAGAGAAAUUUGAGCUAAUACCGGAUGAUGUCUUCGGACCAAAGAUUUAUCGCCUUUAGAUGGGCCCGCGUUGGAUUAGCUAGUUGGUGGGGUAAAGGCCUACCAAGGCGACGAUCCAUAGCUGGUCUGAGAGGAUGAUCAGCCACACUGGGACUGAGACACGGCCCAGACUCCUACGGGAGGCAACAGUGGGGAAUAUUGGACAAUGGGCGAAAGCCUGAACCAGCAAUGCCGCGUGAGUGAUGAAGGCCUUAGGGUUGUAAAGCUCUUUUACCCGAGAUGAUAAUGACAGUAUCGGGAGAAUAAGCUCCGGCUAACUCCGUG
rnacentral:rRNA from 1 species